rnacentral:tRNA from 1 species
GUAGUUAUGUCAGAAUUAUAUGAGUUAGCUUUAAGCGUUGAUUAUGGGUUUUACCCUGGCUACU